UACGACGACAUCACGUUGAAACACCUGUUCCCGUACGAUCCCAAAAGGUAAGCAACGUCGAGCCUUUUCAGUACUUAGAUGGGUGACCGCUUGAGAAUAUCAAGUGCUGUAAG